rnacentral:rRNA from 1 species
GCCUACGGGGCGCAGCAGUGAGGAAUAUUGGUCAAUGGCCGAGAGGCUGAACCAGCCAAGUCGCGUGAGGGAAGACGGCCCUACGGGUUGUAAACCUCUUUUGUCGGGGAGCAAAGCGAGUCACGUGUGACUCAUUGAGAGUACCCGAAGAAAAAGCAUCGGCUAACUCCGUGCCAGCAGCCGCGGUAAUACGGAGGGGGCAAGCGUUAUCCGGAUUUACUGGGUGUAAAGGGUGCGUAGGCGGCAGGGCAAGUCAGAUGUGAAAGCCCGGGGCUCAACCCCGGUACUGCAUUUGAAACUGUCGG